rnacentral:rRNA from 1 species
CACGUAGGGGGCGAGCGUUGUCCGGAAUCAUUGGGCGUAAAGAGCUCGUAGGCGGCUCGGUAAGUCGGGUGUGAAACCCCCAGGCUCAACCUGGGGACGCCACCCGAUACUGCUGUGGCUAGAGUCCAGUAGGGGAGUGUGGAAUUCCCGGUGUAGCGGUGAAAUGCGCAGAUAUCGGGAGGAACACCGGUGGCGAAGGCGGUUCUCUGGGCCUUACCUGACGCUGAGGAGCGAAAGCGUGGGGAGCGAACAGG